GUAGUCUGCAACUCGACUACAUGAAGCUGGAAUCGCUAGUAAUCGCGAAUCAGAAUGUCGCGGUGAAUACGUUCCCGGGUCUUGUACACACCGCCCGUCACACCAUGGGAGUCGGAAAUGCCCGAAGUCAGUGACCUAACCGAAAGGAGGGAGCUGCCGAAGGUGGAGCCGGUAACUGGGGUGAAGUCGUAACAAGGUAAC
rnacentral:rRNA from 1 species